GGAAAGAUUUUUUGGUCAGGGAUGAGCUCGCGGCCUAUCAGCUUGUUGGUGAGGUAAUGGCUCACCAAGGCGUCGACGGGUAGCCGGCCUGAGAGGGUGACCGGCCACACUGGGACUGAGACACGGCCCAGACUCCUACGGGAGGCAGCAGUGGGGAAUAUUGCACAAUGGGCGCAAGCCUGAUGCAGCAACGCCGCGUGAGGGAUGACGGCCUUCGGGUUGUAAACCUCUUUUAGCAGGGAAGAAGCGAAAGUGACGGUACCUGCAGAAAAAGCGCCGGCUAACUACGUGCCAGCAGCCGCGGUAAUACGUAGGGCGCAAGCGUUAUCCGGAAUUAUUGGGCGUAAAGAGCUCGUAGGCGGUUUGUCGCGUCUGCUGUGAAAUCCCGAGGCUCAACCUCGGGUCUGCAGUGGGUACGGGCAGACUAGAGUGCGGUAGGGGAGAUUGGAAUUCCUGGUGUAGCGGUGGAAUGCGCAGAUAUCAGGAGGAACACCGAUGGCGAAGGCAGAUCUCUGGGCCGUAACUGACGCUGAGGAGCGAAAGGGUGGGGAGCAAACAGGCUUAGAUACCCUGGUAGUCCACCCCGUAAACGUUGGGAACUAGUUGUGGGGUCCAUUCCACGGAUUCCGUGACGCAGCUAACGCAUUAAGUUCCCCGCCUGGGGAGUACGGCCGCAAGGCUAAAACUCAAAGGAAUUGACGGGGACCCGCACAAGCGGCGGAGCAUGCGGAUUAAUUCGAUGCAACGCGAAAGAACCUUACCAAGGCUUGACAUAUACGAGAACGCUGCAGAAUGUAGAACUCUUUGGGACACUCGUAACAGGUGUGCAUGAUUGUCGUCAGCUCGUUGUCGUGAAGAUGUUGGGUUUAAGUCCCGGCAA
rnacentral:rRNA from 1 species